rnacentral:rRNA from 1 species
GACGAACGCUGGCGGCGCGCCUAACACAUGCAAGUCGAACGGAGCUGAGAGAAGCUUGCUUUUCUUAGCUUAGUGGCGAACGGGUGAGUAACGCGUGAGUAACCUGCCCUGGAGUGGGGGACAACAGUUGGAAACGACUGCUAAUACCGCAUAAGCCCACGAUCCGGCAUCGGGUUGAGGGAAAAGGAUUUAUUCGCUUCAGGAUGGACUCGCGUCCAAUUAGCUAGUUGGUGAGGUAACGGCCCACCAAGGCGACGAUUGGUAGCCGGACUGAGAGGUUGAACGGUCGCAUUGGGACUGGGACACGGCCCAGACGGCUACGAGAGGCAGCAGUGGGGGAUAUGGCACAAUGGGGGAAACCCUGAUGCAGCGACGCCGCGUGGAGGAAGAAGGUUUUCGGAUUGUAAACUCCUGUCGUUAGGGACGAUAAUGACGGUACCUAACAAGAAAGCACCGGCUAACUACGU